AUUGAACGCUGGCGGCGUGCUUAACACAUGCAAGUCGAUCGGUAACGCGGGGGCAACCCUGGCGACGAGAGGCGGACGGGUGAGGAACGCUUGGGAAUCUGCCUAUCAGCGGGGGACAACACGGGGAAACUCGUGCUAAUACCGCAUACGCUCUACGGAGGCAAGCCGGGGACCGCAAGGCCUGGCACUGAUAGAUGAGCCCAAGCCGGAUUAGCUAGUUGGCGGGGUAACGGCCCACCAAGGCGACGAUCCGUCGCGGGUCUGAGAGGACGAUCAGCCACACUGGGACUGAGACACGGCCCAGACUCCUACGGGAGGCAGCAGUGGGGAAUAUUGGACAAUGGGGGAAACCCUGAUCCAGCGACGCCGCGUGGGUGAAGAAGGCCUGCGGGUUGUAAAGCCCUUUCGGUAGGGACGAAAGCUCUCGACCUAACACGCCGGGAGGUUGACUUAACCUACAAAAGAAGCACCGGCUAACUCUGUGCCAGCAGCCGCAGUAACAC
rnacentral:rRNA from 1 species